AAUAAUUAAAAUUUGCGAAUAGAAUUAUUUCUUGGAAAUUAUAUUUACAAGAUUAUUUUUCAUUCUUUAGGAGGUCUCAAACUCCAAUAAAAUGAAGCAAUAUCCCACCCAUCAUAAAAAAAAUUUCAAGAAAUCUGUCCAUGAAGAGUUUCAACACAUAGAAGUUAGCAUGAAAAUAUCCUGACCCUAGAUUUUUCACUUAAAUUCCUGUGAAAAUUGACGAGAGUUUGCAGCAGGAUCAUCACUUUUCCUGGAGCUUCCAAAUCGACCACUGACCUGGCGAGCAUACGCCACAACAGCCUUAGCCCAUCUCUUGAUAUCAAGCUUUAACUUGUUAGAAUCCAGGUGCUUAAGGGACUUCGCCGCUGGUUCUAUAGAUAUCUCCUGCAUCACUGAAAAGCAUCGACCAAACCUCCCACGUUUAGCAGCAGCUUCUUCAUUGUUAGCCGUAGUUUUUCUGCGGUUCAGUGAAAGGGUUUUCGUGAUAGACAUGGUGGAAUCUUUGAGCAGCAAUGUUGCCGAGAAGCUAUCGCUGCUCCUUCAGAAGCAAAAAGGUAUUUGGGUUUGGUAUUUUUAUUCAAGGUUUAAAGAAUUAUAGUAAGACAAGUAACAUAUUAUAUUCCAAAGGGAACUGUGUUAUUCCAAUACGUGUGCCAAACUAAACUUGUUUAAUUGACUAAAGACUUUUCAGCCUUCUGGG
rnacentral:lncRNA from 1 species